UUCAUAAGAAAAAAAAUUACUAAGAAAUAUUAUUUGUACUCGUAUUACUACUGCUAGUAAGCAAUCAAUCAAAUCUUUGUCAGAAACAUUCAGUAGGUACGCUGUGAAGUGAACUCAGUUGGAACGUUUUGUUCUGAAGGUGACUUAAAAGAUUAUCUAGCUUUCGUUCCGUAUAAAUAUUGGAAUUAUUUCAAGAUUCAGUAUAAUUUGUCAACGAUCAGUUGAGCUAAUAAGUUUUAAUUUAUUACUCGUUGCAAUAAAUUUCGUAAAUAAACAUGUUGAAUUAUUUUGUUGUCUUUGUGUUGGCUCUAAUUUUAGCCCUUGCAUCUGCUUUGCCAGAGCCUGAACCUUUGAUUGGAUAUCCUGCUAUCGGGAUUCCAUCUCUUGGAGCCAAAGUUGCUGUUGCAUAUCCAUCUUACGGAGCAAUUAUUGGAUAAUGCCUAUACAAAUAAUGCAAUUUAAUGCUGAAAAAUUGUCUUUAUUUCUGUAAUAAAAAGACAAACAUUUUUAAAUA